AUUGAACGCUGGCGGCAGGCUUAACACAUGCAAGUCGAACGGUAACAUAAAGAAGCUUGCUUCUUUGAUGACGAGUGGCGGGCGGGUGAGUAAUGCUUGGGAAUCUAGCUUAUGGAGGGGGAUAACUACGGGAAACUGUAGCUAAUACCGCGUAAUAUCGAAAGAUUAAAGUGUGGGACCUUCGGGCCACAUGCCAUAAGAUGAGCCCAAGUGGGAUUAGGUAGUUGGUGAGGUAAAGGCUCACCAAGCCGACGAUCUCUAGCUGGUCUGAGAGGAUGACCAGCCACACUGGGACUGAGACACGGCCCAGACUCCUACGGGAGGCAGCAGUGGAGAAUAUUGCGCAAUGGGGGCAACCCUGACGCAGCCAUGCCGCGUGAAUGAAGAAGGCCUUCGGGUUGUAAAGUUCUUUCGGUAGCGAGGAAGGCAUUUAGUUUAAUAGACUAGGUGAUUGACGUAA
rnacentral:rRNA from 1 species